UCCUCCUCAUCAGAAACAUGACUUUGAUCCUCAUCUGGACUCUCCUCUGCUUCACUCAGGGGUCUGUGGGACAAAAUGUUGUGGUGACUCAGCCAGCAGCUAAAUCUGUCCAGCUGGGUCAAACUGCUUCUAUUCCCUGUCAGGCCAGUACAACGGUUACCCACUACACUGGCUCACAAUACUUCCUGGCCUGGUACCAUCAGAAAACUGGAGAAGCUCCUAAACUUCUGAUCUACCUAACAUCAGAUAGAUUGUCUGGAAUCUCCUCCAGAUUCAGUGGAAGUGGAGCGGGGAAUGGAGUCGACUUCACUCUGACCAUCAGUGGAGUUCAGGCUGAAGAUGCAGCAGUUUACUACUGUCAGAGUUAUCACUGGAUCAACAGUCAGCAGGUGAUCACACAGUGA